UACCAGCACCCCGAGUGGUCGGGACGAUUAUUGGGCCUAAAGCAUCCGUAGCCGGUUCUGCAAGUCUUCCGUUAAAUCCACCUGCUUAACAGAUGGGCUGCGGGAGAUACUACAGAGCUAGGAGGCGGGAGAGGCAAGCGGUACUCAGUGGGUAGGGGUAAAAUCCGUUGAUCCAUUAAAGACCACCAGUGGCGAAGGCGGCUUGCCAGAACGCGCUCGACGGUGAGGGAUGAAAGCUGGGGGAGCAAACCGGAUUAGAUACCCGGGUAGUCCCAGCUGUAAACGAUGCAGACUCGGUGAUGAAUAGACUUAGUGUUUAUUCAGUGCCGCAGGGAAGCCGUUAAGUCUGCCGCCUGGGGAGUACGGUCGCAAGACUGAAACUUAAAGGAAUUGGCGGGGGAGCACCACAAGGGGUGAAGCCUGCGGUUCAAUUGGAGUCAACGCCGGAAAUCUUACCGAGGGCGACAGCAGGAUGAAGGUCAUGCUAAAGACAUUACCAGACAAGCUGAGAGGAGGUGCAUGGCCGUCGCCAGCUCGUGCCGUGAGGUGUCCUGUUAAGUCAGGUAACGAGCGAGAUCCCUGCUUCUAGUUGCUACUUUUGUUCUUCGGAGUAGAAGGGCUAAUUAGAAGGACCGCCGUCGCUGAGACGGAGGAAGGAGGGGGCCACGGCAGGUCAGUAUGCCCCGAAACCCUCGGGCCACACGCGGGCUGCAAUGGUAAGGACAAUGAGUUCCGAUACCGAAAGGUGGAGGCAAUCUUCAAACCUUACCUCAGUUAUGAUUGAGGGCUGAAACUCGCCCUCAUGAAUAUGGAAUCCCUAGUAACCGCGUGUCACUAUCGCGCGGUGAAUACGUCCCUGCUCCU
rnacentral:rRNA from 1 species